CAACAAUAAACUAAAAGUUUGACCUCAAAUCAGGUAGGACUACCCGCUGAACUUAA
rnacentral:rRNA from 1 species